GACGAACGCUGGCGGCGUGCUUAACACAUGCAAGUCGAACGAAGAGCGACGGAAGCUUGCUUCUAUCAAUCUUAGUGGCGCACGGGUGAGUAACGCGUAAUCAACCUGCCCUUCAGAGGGGGACAACAGUUGGAAACAACUGCUAAUACCGCAUACGAUCUAACCUCGGCAUCGAGGAUAGAUGAAAGGUGGCCUCUACAUGUAAGCUAUCACUGCAGGAGGGGAUUGCGUCUGAUUAGCUAGUUGGAGGGGUAACGGCCCACCAAGGCGAUGAUCAGUAGCCGGUCUGAGAGGAUGAACGGCCACAUUGGGACUGAGACACGGCCCAGACUCCUACGGGAGGCAGCAGUGGGGAAUCUUCCGCAAGGGACGAAAGUCUGACGGAGCAACGCCGCGUGAGUGAUGACGGCCUUCGGGUUGUAAAGCUCUGUUAAUCGGGACGAAAGGCCUUCUUGCGAAUAGUGAGAAGGAUUGACGGUACCGGAAGAGAAAGCCACGGCUAACUACGUG
rnacentral:rRNA from 1 species